UUUAGUUCUGCAAACUCCUUUGCUUCUGGCUAAUUAGGCAUAAAGAUGUGACUUUCUGAGCUGUGUUUAUUUCUUCACUUUUUUCUUCUUUAAAAAUGAGAUUACGAUUAACAGUCUCUAUUUUGAUUAACAGAAGAUUUCAUAAACACAUAUAAAGUUCAUUUAAAUCAGCUGGAGAAUCCACAUAUUUUGGGUCUGGAUAGCUUUUCCAGUGUCUCUUCCUUUGCUAGUCUCUCUUACCUCCUCUUUUAUGUAAAUAUUUUCCCAAGGGUCAUAUAAGUACACAGGUUAUGGACAUGUGUCCAAGGCUUGUUUGUCACACAUCUAGGGGCGUACGUGACAGAAGAGCAAACAAGCUUCUGAGCUGUGAGUAAGUCUCACUUUGGGUCUAGGUGACUAGGCAGAAUGUGCAUGCCUUUGUCAUCAGGUAGGUACACUGAACAAAGAUGAUGUAUUGGCUGUGGAUCAGGUAGUUGAGAAGCUGUAUGGAAGAGCUUGGGGUCAAAGAAAGAGAAAUUUAGAUUUAGACAGUCAAGGUAGUGCUACAACGAAAUAUCCAUCUGUAGCCUUAUUGUGCUCAUCAGAGGAUUUUCUCUGAACUCCAGUUCAACAAGUGAAGUAGUAGAGGAGAAUAUAUGUUUAAUGUACAAGUACAGGCAUGGAAUCCCAUUUGGAAAUGACAAGAUACUGAUUCAAAGCAGCAAAAAGAAGAUAAAUAAAAGAGUUUACCCAUCCUCUUCUUUUCUUCAAGGAAAGAAAGCAUUUGCUUUUGUAGAUAGGAAAGAAUUGGGUUUCCUCUGCUCUUUAAGUGAUCUCAUACAGGGGGAAGGUAGUUGCUGACGUAGCAAUGGAAACACAGAAACUUACUGCGAUUCUCAGACAGCUUCAAGAGCAGAACUAAAGGGACAGAAAUAGACAUAGCACACCUACCAGAGCUCUUAGCUGGUCUUAUGCUGCUAUAGACAAGUUACUGAAGAUAGGGUCAGGAGACCAUUUCUGAAGACAUACUCACGCUUUCUGUGGAAGAAGAGUGCCAGGAGACAAGACUUGCUCUCAGGCUUGGAUGAAAGAAAGAUUCACAUUCCGGGAGGAGCUUGCACCCCACGCUAGCCCGGCUGAGUUCUCCACGCCACCAGAUGUGUUAGAGACAGGCAGUUCCAUUUCAAAGCCACCGUAGGAAAAAAGACAGACACUCCUCCUGGACAAAGGAAGGCAUCAAGCUUAGCACAUGGAACUGGACAGCCCUGGCUGUUACCAAGGAGUAACUACCAGCUACCAGAGCUGGCAGCUCGCACAAGGACGGGACCAGACCAUGGCGCGCUUCUGUCCUCAGCCACACAGCCAGAGAGAUUUGCUGCUGUCUCCCAGGACACUGACACAAAGUUAAGGAAUCAAAACUGACACCAGCUGUUGGCACGAACUGAGUGAUGCAUGUGCACUGCCAGAGUGGGUGGCAGGCUGGUGGUGGCCAAUGCCACCAUGGGAUGGGUGUCUCCUGGCUGCCAGGGAGAUGUGGGACUAACAGCCUUGGCCUGAGGCUGGCAGAGCCCUGGGCAGGAGUUGCCCCUGGUGAGCCAGGGUGGCUGCUCCUGUGUUUUGUUAUCCUGCCUUUUGCAGCCGCAGGACCAGACAGGGACAGGACCAGACCAUGGCUUAAUCCCAUCCUCAGCCACACAGCCAUAGAGAUUCAUUGCCUUCUACAAGGACACAGACACAA